rnacentral:rRNA from 1 species
GACGAACGCUGGCGGCGUGCCUAACACAUGCAAGUCGAACGGAGUUAUUUAUUUCGGUAGAUAACUUAGUGGCGAACGGGUGAGUAACGCGUGAGCAACCUGCCCUAAAGAGGGGGAUAACAACGAGAAAUCGUUGCUAAUACCGCAUAAGACCACAUUGCCGCAUGGCAGAGGGGUCAAAGGAGCAAUCCGCUUUAGGAGGGGCUCGCGUCCCAUUAGAUAGUUGGAGGGGUAACGGCCCACCAAGUCUGCGAUGGGUAGCCGAGCUGAGAGGCUGAUCGGCCACACUGGAACUGAGACACGGUCCAGACUCCUACGGGAGGCAGCAGUGGGGAAUAUUGGGCAAUGGGCGCAAGCCUGACCCAGCAACGCCGCGUGAGGGAAGAAGGUUUUCGGAUUGUAAACCUCUGUCCUUGGUGACGAAAAAAAUGACGGUAGCCAAGGAGGAAGCCCCGGCUAACUACGUG